CAGACCGGCACGAAGGCACGGCACAGGCAUAGAAUAAAUAAUUCAUGUAUCGACAAGUAUAGAUAGAUGGAUAAAGAUGAAUCAUAUAGCAAGUGAAUGAAAGCAGAAUAGGGUUUUUGUUGGCAUCGAGAAUGACGCCAACUAGGGUUCGGGGCUCGACCUCGGAGCCGAUGGGCUGUGGUAGCAGCUGCUGUUCUUCGGAUGCAGCGAAGUGGUGGUCAUGCUUGGUCGCGCGGCUUCGUCAUUGGCCGGUGCUCGGCAAGAUGUUGCAAAGGCGGUCAGCGGUGCUGCGAGGUUCCACUCAAGGUAGCUCUAGCGUUGCGGCUUCCGUGGGAAGGUGCAGCAGGUCCGAGGCCUCCCUGUGACAGCAGUAAAACACGGCACGAAGGCCGGUCUCAGCAAGGACAGCGACAAGGUCAACCACAAUGAGGAGAAGAACAAAGCUUGCCUACUGUCUCACCAGCGGCAGUGGAAGUUGCCGAAGAUGGGGUGCUGCUGCUGCUGAGGCUGUGCUGCACGUGCAGAGAUGAACGGUGGCCAGCAAAAGGAGAAGUUCGCGGUCACCAUGGCACGCUGAGCACGACGUCGUGGUCGGGUUCGCGAUCACCAUGGCCAGCGCUGACGUGGUGACCGCGGCGAGCUCGGCGGUGGCGCGGCUGCUCGACUUGGCGAGGACGACGCGGGGGCGAUGGGGCUCGAGCACGGCGUCGUCGUGGUGGCUCGGGGACGGGGCUCGGCGUGCCCGCGGUUAUGCCGCGACACACCCGCAGUGGUCGGCCGUCGUGGGCGUGCUGGGCUCCUGCUCGGUGCGGAACGCUCGGCGUCGACGCUCGGCUCGGCGGCGACGGAUGCGCGAGGGCGAAGCUUGACGAGGUGCUGUUGAAGUCCGGCGUCGCGGCUCGGGUCGAGGACGCACGGCGGUCGUGGCGCUGUCGUGGUGGAGCUCGACGAAAAGGGAGCACUCGCCGCGGCGUCGCUCCUGGACGUGGCGACCGUGGCGAGCACGCAGUCUGAUGGCGUCGUCGCGGCGGCCGGGGCGAGGGCGAGGCCGAAGCUCGGUGCGGCGCGGCGGCUCUGGCUCCGGGGCGAGGUGGUGCUUGGCGUCGCUGGGUGGUGGAGCAGAGCGGCGGCGUCGUGGGGAAGAAGAGGAGAGCGGCGGCUCGGGCUCUUAUACGCGUCGUGGCCUAGGGUUCCAGGGGUGCUAGGCGCUGCGGGCGGUGAUCCUCGGCGUCCGUGCCGUUGGGCGGGCCGCGUGGCGCUCAUCUGGCAGCAGCACGGGCGUCCAGGGCACGAGUGCGGUGCUGCAGGGGCGCGGCGACGGCGUCUGGGAACCAGGGGGCGCACCUAGGGUUCCAGGGGUGCUGGUCUUGGGCUAGGUGGGCCUUGGCUGCUGCGCGGGCCGUGGAGUGGAGAUGGGGAGCUGGCUGGGCCGCGCGGUUGGAAGGGGGAUGGCGCCGGUUGGGCCUCUGCCUGGGCCGCGUGGCUUGGAGCUGGGCCGCUGGGUGGCUUGGGCCAAGGGAGAGGUAGCUGGGCCGCGGAGAGGGGAGGGGGUGGGCCGGCGCUGCUGUCCACGCUAUGGGCCAGGGAGGGGGGCGCUAGGAGGCCUGUAUGGGCAUGCACGAGGGGGAGAAAGGAGAGAAAAUUAAGAGAGGAGGAGAAAAGGGUUUUCUAUUUUUGAUUAAGCAGAAUGGAAUGAAAACAAAAGGAGUUGGAGAAGAUUCAAAAGGAGAUCGGAUAAAAUCCAAUGGAGUUUGAGACGUACUCCAACGAAAAAGUUGAGAACGGAUUCGCUUCGCCAUAGAGAUAGGCUCAACGAAGAUUCGGGAAGGCUUUGCUACGAAUUUGUGCACUCCAAAAGAAACUCAAAACCCUAAACAAGAUCCAACUUAAGACAACUCACGAAUAAGAGCACUCGUCUACAAACAAUUCUAUAUGAAUGCGACGACUUGUUAGCGGGUUAGAAUCGAGUUAGACCCAAAAACUAUAUGCUUCACACGAUUACAGGAAAAAUUUUAAAAAGCUCGUAUUUUUAGUUUACGUAAAAAAAAUCUGGGAUGUUACAGUCCACCCUCCUUACAGGAAUCUCGUCCCUGAGAUUUAGGUGUUGCUCGGUCGGUGAAGAGGCGAGGGCACUAUUCCACAAGUUCUUACUUCUGAGUUGUUUUACUUCCAGCAUGAUCGCUCCAAUAACCUUUUCCAAAAACGGAGUGAGUCAUGAUCCCAGUGUAUCCAAGGCUCAGUCACGAGUGUUGGGUAUCCAAAUUCUUACACCGAGGCGAUGGGUAUCCAAGAAUCGCAUCGUGUUUAUGAACAUCUGGCUCUCAAGGGGUGCAUGGCAGGCUUAAACAUAGCUAGGGUUGUUGGCUUUCGAUAGCUGUUUUUCAGGCAUCAUCCUUUGAAAAAGGCUUUUGAAAGAAGGGAGUUUUGGGAAACAGGUUUCAAAAAUAGAGUGAAAGCGCUUUUACAAAAUCAAGUUUUUUUUUAGCCUUCAAAUUGAAGAGAGCUUUUGAAGAGUGUUAAAAUCAAUGCAAGUUUUGAAAACCAAAUCUUUUGAAGGUUUUGUUAUAAUAGAUUUCAAAUCAAGAGAUUUUUAAAAUUCUUUUACUUUAUUAUUAUUAUUAUUUUUAACACAAGGUAUUGCUCUCUUUUUAUUAGAGUCAAACAAACUAGUUUUGAAAAUGACUAGAAAUCAUUUCUCAUUUUGAAAGAUAAAGCUUUAACAACAAAGCAUUUUCUUUCAAAACUUGUAAGUUCAUUUUGUUUUUGCUAAAACUUUUCCCUUGAAAGGAUGCAAAUAAAAUCUUUUCGCCCUGGUUUUUGUUUAAUAAAUCACUGGCAAUUUCUUUUUCUUUUGAGGCAAGGUAGAAUUUGAAAAGGAAUUUGGCUCUUGAGAUAAAAUCAAAGGCUUUAAAACAAAACUAAGCCAAAGUUCUUUGGUUUGAGAGCUACUUUAUUGAUGACAAAGCAAGGCUUUUGUUUUUCAGAAGAGGGUUGGUAACACGUUUUGAAGGAUAACUUGUUUUUAAAUCAUUUCAUAAAUAGAGUUUGAAUAAAAUUGAGUUGAGAAAGGAGUUAAAACUGCUUUUAUUUGUGAAAAGGGAAGACAUUGAGAGAGUUUUGAAACACUUUUCCAUUUGAAAUAUAGAUGCUUUUGUUAAAGAGGGGAUAUUUUAACCAAAAGGAGAGAAAAUUUUUCAACCAAAGGGGGCAAUUUGAAGACAAGUUUAGUUGGAAGCCAAAAACAGUUUUGAAAUAGAUGGGCAAGACAUGAUGCAUUAGCUUUACAUCCUUUUCCAGCUCUGUUAGCCAGGGUCACCUAUCUAGUUUCGGGACGGUCUUGGGUUUAGCCAGCUAGAUUGGACAGGAUCCAGAGUCUUUCACGCGUAAAACAGGUUCUAUGACUUACACUCAGACAACAAGAAGCAGAAGAAACGCGAGAACAUAAGAUCUAAGCACUCAAAUAACAUUACAACUCCUAAUGCAUAGUGUUGACUUGAGGCGACUCAGGGACCUUCAAAGUCUCACACGACUAUCGAUCUAGCAUGGGCGGGUAUGGGAAAAAAAAUUCCAACGGUCAACUUUAUGAAACAGGGAGGUCAGUUAGAAGAAGAAUUCAAGGCGAAAGGGGAAAACAAGUGUUAGCAUUUAUAACUCUACAAAAGAUAGAAUGUUUGGCUUCUAAACUAGUGUUUGGUCCUAAAGGUCUUGUCCUAGGGUCAAGUAUGGCUCUGAUACCAACUGAAACGACCCCGAUUUUUCCACAAAGGGAAAAAUCCAAAGAUUCGAAUUAUAAUGUGAUAAUUCAAAAAUUGAACCAUCGCAUUAUCAUAUAUCAGCUGUUAUCGUAGUCAUACAUCGUGAGAAACAAGAUUACAACACAUUUGCUUUACAACUCUUGAUUAACAAGCUUAUUACAUUGUUUUUCUAGCGGAAACACACGCGAGUCUUUAUCAGAGUCGAUGUAGCGCGACAGCGGUGAAGGCUCCUCCUUCACGGACAAUCAUCAGAGUCGGCGUAGUUUAUCAGCGGGCGCAGCCUUCAUCUCUGAACCAAACUUGAGCGCAGGAACGAGACCACCUAAUCCUUCUAUUCUCCGUAGUUAUCGUCAUAGAUCACGUUCAAACCUGCUAAACAAUUUUCAGUACGAUUUGUACUGGCCACUGGCUCCCACCCUAUGCUUUUGCGUAGCUUUGUGGUAGGUGGAAAUGCAAAGGGUAUAUCAAGAGGCCUAUGUAUAGCUGUAGUUUUUCCUAUGCAAGUUCAUCAAUAUUUUAAUAAUAAUAAUUUAUCAAGUUUUAAUCCAUCUCAACCACACGUCCAUCCAUCCAUCCAUCCCAUCACACACAACUUACCACACUCUCACUCUCUAGGCGGCAAGUAUGACUCCCGCUCGUGCCUUGCCUCAACGGCCAACGCCGGAUCCAACACAAACCCAGGGGAAGGUAGAAAGGACUCCUCUCACUAGUCAAGCGAAGUGGAACAUAGGAAAGGUCCAUAGCCGAGAAGACGGCAUAUGUAUCGAUCGAUCAACCAAACUCUGCAGAGGUUUACACUAACCACAAGAUCACCAUCAUCGACGAACCGGCUCGUCUAGGCUGAUACCGGGCUGCCUUCCAACAAAAUACGAUGCCACCCUACCACUCAGGACUGGGGCCAUACCGGAGUACCACCGGCAUGCUGAGACUGUGAGGCGUAGUACCAGGCCCCCAAGGGUCACUACGCUGUCUUAGGAGGGUGUGGGUCCUCAUGCCCGUACCUCCCUACACUAUCCGCUAUCAACCUAGUAGUAGUGGCACCGCACUAGCUGGUCGUACAUCCGUCCCGCACCAUAAUAAGGCGAGUGGCGUGUAAGGCUUCCUACGAACCGGUUCUCAGAACAUCUCAGUCCUUAGGGUAACCGAACAGGACAUCUUCACGAGGGGCCAGCCGAUGCCCCUCUCGACGGGACACCCGGCUACCCCGUGCUAUACAGCACCUCCCAUCCCGGUGCUUCGUCCCACGAAGACACUCCACUCCGGGACCUCUCCCUGUCACAUGUACCCGCCACAGGUAUCUCUCAUGGAGAACGCCCAGGUAGCGUUCCCCGGCAAGACUUGUCCCAAGACUCGUCGUAAAUCCUGCUCGGUCGACUCGACCCUCACCACACACCCAAGACACACGCCAAGAUCUCCCCAUAUCCAUUAUCCAUUUCUUAACCAGUUAUCGGCACACGUGCCUUAUCCACUCACAUCCAAUCCUCCACAAUGCAUCACAUCACAGAUAUAAUGCGUAGUAGAAGCAGUAGCAAGUAGUAUGCAAGCAUCUAACCUAACAGUGGGUGUGCGAGGGUUAUAGGUUGCAACAAGGCAAUGGCUCACAAGCAUUUCUACCAUGCAACCUAUCAUAGUUCAUUUGCAUAAAAGUAAAGCACUAGCAUCUAUAAUAUUGCAUGUCUAAUAGGAUUCUACGAGGUUGGGUGGGACGUGGCACCUGUUGAAUGUCAUUCCCAAGAUCCUCAGUGCACUUGUAGUUGUUCUUAUCCAAAGUCCUUCCAUCUGCAUGUCCUUCCUCCACUGGGUCCCGAACCGAUCAACGUUAAACGAAGCAACUACCUUGUAAACGUCAAGCAAGGCGAAACAAUCAGACCACUAGACCUAGAAGGACUGUGAAGAAGGCGACAGAACACUGAAGAAUAACUACACCAAAAGAGCACCGAAGGGAAAACAGUUUAGCCCUCUCGGCGGAUAUCCGAUCCCUGGGCUAAAAGAAAUAGGAAUGUCUGUUCACCAAGUACAAGUCAGAGUCUUAGCCUAGCCGAUACUUCCCGGGUCAACUGAGUCAACCUGUACGGCUUUAAUAAAUAGCUUAGACUCUAACUCAUUCUAAGCAAACACCACAGCUUACGGUCUUUUGAUCCAAGUGUCAUAGGGAUCGGCAGGAAUCGAAAAGACUAUGAGUACGAGAAGUUCCGGUCUCUCUCACUCCAUACGCCAUUGUAGUUGGCGAGAGCCAAGAGAGGGUGGAAUAGAGAGAGAAGAAGGGAAAGUGGUCUACUCCUUCCAAUCCACUCGCCAUGGUAAGAGACGGGGAAUCCGAAAGAGUGACACACAAGAACACGAGUGCUCAAACUACUUGUAGGGUACCACAACCUAGGUGCACUAAAUGCACUAAGGCAUCACUAGGGUUCUUAGCGGUGCGGUUGUCACCACGAGAACCAAGAAAUGCUACGGUCGAAUAGGUACAAGCGUACAAGAGUUUAAACACGAAGAACCAAAAAGGCGGGAAAGGACACGGGAUUCAUCUUCCUUUGAUCCACUCGCCAUAGCAACAGCGGGAAUCGUAGAAAUGGAAUCAAAACACCAAACAAACAAAAGGGCUCAAUCCACAUAUUACUGGAUCUACAGGGAUUGAGAACGAGAGAAGAGGAAUGGAGUCCAUACUGUUUCGACCAACUCAUCAUGGAAUGAACGACGGUUGGAUGAAAGAGAUACGACCCCACGAUCCAAGCCUACUCGUAGGGUACCACGACUGUGCAUCUAAUCAGCACACGGCUAUUCCUAAGGCCCGUAGCGAUGCGGUUGUCACCGCUAGGUCCGAGGGAAUGCUAUAGUCGAAGUGGUGCAAGCAUACGAGGUGGUUAGGAUAAAUACGCGAGAAAUAGGGUAAAGCCGGAUGGUCAUGGCAAGGUGGACUUGCGACCAUUAGCUUCACCCAACGAGUUGGCUUCUGACUGUUAUACAAGGGUUGCUCCUAAUCUGUAUCCCACUAGACUAGAUCACAGAGAACUCGAAGGUGCGGGUAAGAACCGCGUCGUUAUGAAUAUCGAGUCCACAAAGAUCAAACCCCAGGGACGAGGAUAGGAGCUAACAAGCGUAGCGUGACGAAGUCAACUAAACACGGGGAGACGAGUUACGCUCGGCAUCGCGAUCACGGCGGGACGAACCCACGAUCGAAAUGAUCAAACGCACUACCACUUCCCCGACCGGCUCGAAGGCUCAGUCCUCAGGCAAAUAACAAAAGAAAGAACGACGACAACCCGAGAAGGGAUAUGCUUGGCACUACGACCAUGGUGAGACAACUCGCGAUCGCAACAUUCAAACACAUCACUCUCUCAACCGGCUCGAAGGCACGGUUCACAACCAACCAACCACAUGACACAAGAACCAACGCACAAAGAACCACAAUGCCGCAACCAACACAAAGACAAAGUAGAGUAGCACAUUUCCAUAGCGACCAACAGAGAUAGAUAAACGGAUAGAUAAACAGACCGGCACGAAGGCACGGCACAGGCAUAGAAUAAAUAAUUCAUGUAUCGACAAGUAUAGAUAGAUGGAUAAAGAUGAAUCAUAUAGCAAGUGAAUGAAAGCAGAAUAGGGUUUUUGUUGGCAUCGAGAAUGACGCCAACUAGGGUUCGGGGCUCGACCUUGGAGCCGAUGGGCUGUGGUAGCAGCUGCUGUUCUUCGGAUGCAGCAAAGUGGUGGUCAUGCUUGGUCGCGCGGCUUCGUCAUUGGCCGGUGCUCGGCAAGAUGUUGCAAAGGCGGUCUGCGGUGCUGCGAGGUUCCACUCAAGGUAGCUCUAGCGUUGCGGCUUCCGUGGGAAGGUGCAGCAGGUCCGAGGCCUCCC
rnacentral:lncRNA from 1 species